CUCAAAGAUUAAGCCAUGCAUGUAUAAGUUUAAUCGUUUAUCGAGAAACCGCGAACGGCUCAUUACAAUGGCCAUUAUUUACUUGAUCUUGAUUGUCUAAAUGGAUAACUGUGGAAAAGCUAGAGCUAAUACAUGCACUAAAGCUUUGUCCUUACGGAAAAGCGCAUUUAUUAGAACAAAACCACGCGGCUUCGGCUGCUUCUUGUUGACUCAGAAUAACUUAGCUGACCGCAUGGCCUUGUGCCGGCGGCGUGUCUUUCAAGCGUCCACUUUAUCAACUUGACGGGAGCAUAAUCGACUCCCGUGGUGGUGACGGAUAACGGAGGAUCAGGGUUCGACUCCGGAGAAGGGGCCUGAGAAAUGGCCACUACGUCUAAGGAUGGCAGCAGGCGCGCAAAUUACCCACUCUCGGCUCGAGGAGGUAGUGACGAGAAAUAACGAGACUGUUCUCUUUGAGGCCGGUCAUCGGAAUGGGUACAAUUUAAACCCUUUAACGAGUAUCAAGCAGAGGGCAAGUCUGGUGCCAGCAGCCGCGGUAAUUCCAGCUCUGCAAAUACAUAGAAUUAUUGCUGCGGUUAGAAAGCUCAUAGUUGGAUUCGUAUCGAUACCUUGGAACCCUUCGAGUGUCUCUAGGUGUUAUCGAUUUAUCGUAAUGUUCGGUUUUGAGUCCUUAACAGGAUUCUUAACAGGCAUUGCAAGUUUACUUUGAACAAAUCAGAGUGCUUCAAACAGGCGUUUUCGCUUGAAUGAUCGUGCAUGGAAUAAUAGAAAAUGAUUUCGGUUCGGUUUUAUUGGUUUUACGGACUGAGAUAAUGGUUAACAGAGACAAACGGGGGCAUUUGUAUGGUCCCGUGAGAGGUGAAAUUCUUGGACCGUGGCCAGACAAACUACAGCGAAAGCAUUUGCCAAGAAUGUUUUYAUUAAUCAAGAACGAAAGUCAGAGGUUCGAAGGCGAUCAGAUACCGCCCUAGUUCUGACCGUAAACGAUGCCAACUAGCGAUCCGCCGAUGGAAAUUAUAUUGCCUUGGUGGGGAGCUUCCCGGAAACGAAAGUCUUCCGGUUCCGGGGGAAGUAUGGUUGCAAAGCUGAAACUUAAAGGAAUUGACGGAAGGGCACCACCAGGAGUGGAGCCUACGGCUUAAUUUGACUCAACACGGGGAAACUCACCCGGCCCGGACACUGUGAGGAUUGACAGAUUGAUAGCUUUUUCAUGAUUCAGUGGAUGGUGGUGCAUGGCCGUUCUUAGUUCGUGGAGUGAUUUGUCUGGUUUAUUCCGAUAACGAGCGAGACUCUAACCUACUAAAUAGUUGGUACAUACUCUUAGUGUAUACAGCAUCUUAGAGGGAUUUGCGGCGUUCAGCCGAAAGAAAUUGAGCAAUAACAGGUCUGUGAUGCCCUUAGAUGUCCGGGGCUGCACGCGCGCUACACUGGCAAAAUCAACGUGCUUGUCCUACCCUGAAAGGGGCGGGUAAACCAUUGAAAAUUUGCCGUGAUUGGUAUCGGAAAUUGCAAUUAUUUUCCGUGAACGAGGAAUUCCAAGUAAGUGCGAGUCAUCAGCUCGCGUUGAUUACGUCCCUGCCCUUUGUACACACCGCCCGUCGCUGCCCGGGACUGAGCCAUUUCGAGAAAUUUGGGGACCGUUGAUUUAAUUUUUCUAAAUUACUUUGAUGGAAACCAAUUUAAUCGCAGCGGCUUGAACCCCCC
rnacentral:rRNA from 1 species